UGGGUUAGUGGCGGACGGGUGAGUAACGCGUGGGCAACCUGCCUUACACAGGGGGAUAACACUUAGAAAUAGGUGCUAAUACCGCAUAACAGUAGGAGACGCAUGUCUUUUACUUGAAAAUUCCGGUGGUGUAAGAUGGACCCGCGUCUGAUUAGCUUGUUGGCGGGGUAACGGCCCACCAAGGCAACGAUCAGUAGCCGGCCUGAGAGGGCGAACGGCCACACUGGGACUGAGACACGGCCCAGACUCCUACGGAAGGCAGCAG
rnacentral:rRNA from 1 species